AACUCAGCAGCUACAAAAGGGGUAGAGCAAGCCACAGAGUUCAGGAAAGAUAGCACCUUAUAUUUAUAACACACUUUACGUUUUCAGGUAACAGCUUGAAGAAAUGCUUUUGAAGCUGAGUGCAAGCGUGCCAACAGAGACUGUUAAAUGGAGAGCAUCAUGUGUUGCAGGACCCCAACACGCUGAGAAGCUGUUUCCUUUUCAACACGCCGGGACCAUUUGAAGCCAGUUCCAAGGCAUUACUGAAAAUAAAAUCUAAAACACAA